AACGAACGCUGGCGGCAUGCCUAACACAUGCAAGUCGAACGAGACCUUCGGGUCUAGUGGCGCACGGGUGCGUAACGCGUGGGAACCUGCCCUUAGGUUCGGAAUAACUCCCCGAAAGGGGUGCUAAUACCGGAUAAUGUCUUCGGACCAAAGAUUUAUCGCCUUUGGAUGGGCCCGCGUUGGAUUAGCUAGUUGGUAGGGUAAAAGCCUACCAAGGCGACGAUCCAUAGCUGGUCUGAGAGGAUGAUCAGCCACACUGGGACUGAGACACGGCCCAGACUCCUACGGGAGGCAGCAGUGGGGAAUAUUGGACAAUGGGCGAAAGCCUGAUCCAGCAAUGCCGCGGGAGUGAUGAAGGCCUUAGGGUUGUAAAGCUCUGUUACCCGGGAUGAUAAUGACAGUACCGGGAGAAUAAGCUCCGGCUAACUCCGUG
rnacentral:rRNA from 1 species